rfam:Mesorhizobium sp. LNHC252B00 scaffold0043, whole genome shotgun sequence.
UGUCAAGAGUCGUGGCGUCGUUUCGGCGAGCAGAUUUCUUUUGCCUUUUUGAAAGGUGAGGGAAAUG